rnacentral:scRNA from 1 species
UUAACGCACGGAUCGCCGCAACCAUUCGCCGG